AGCAGCCGCGGUAAUUCCAGCUCCAAUAGCGUAUAUUAAAGUUGUUGUGGUUAAAAAGCUCGUAGUUGGAUCUCAACAGCCUUGAAGCGGUUAACGUUGUAGUUUUACUGCUUUAUAGGCUGUGCUUUUGCUGGAGGUUUAGGGGUGCUCUUGAUCGAGUGUCUCUGGAUGCCAGCAGGUUUACUUUGAAAAAAUUAGAGUGCUCAAAGCAGGCUAAAAUGCCUGAAUAUUCGUGCAUGGAAUAAUAGAAUAGGAUGUCGAUCCUAUUUUGUUGGUUUUCGGGACUCGACAUAAUGAUAAAUAGGGACAGUCGGGGGCAUUUGUAUUCAAACGACAGAGGUGAAAUUCUUGGACCGUUUGAAGACAAACUACUGCGAAAGCAUUUGCCAAGAAUGUUUUCAUUAAUCAAGAACGAAAGUUAGAGGUUCGAAGGCGAUUAGAUACCGCCCUAGUUCUAACCAUAAACGAUGCCAGCUAGCGAUCUGCCUGCGUUUUUACUGUAGACUGGGCAGGAAGCUUCCGGGAAACCAAAGCAUUUGGGUUCCAGGGGAAGUAUGGUUGCAAAGCUGAAACUUAAAGGAAUUGACGGAAGGGCACCACCAGGAGUGGAGCCUGUGGCUUAAUUUGACUCAACACGGGAAAUCUCACCAGGCCCGGACACUGGAAGGAUUGACAGAUUGAUAGCUCUUUCUUGAUUCGGUGGGUGGUGGUGCAUGGCCGUUCUUAGUUGGUGGAGUGAUUUGUCUGGUUAAUUCCGAUAACGAACGAGACUCUGUCCUGCUAAAUAGUUUCUACUUCUCUUUUGAGUAGAAAUUUCUUCUUAGAGGGACUGGUGACUCUUAGUCACACGAGAUUGAGCAAUAACAGGUCUGUGAUGC
rnacentral:rRNA from 1 species